rnacentral:rRNA from 1 species
UGAACGCUGGCGGCAUGCCUUACACAUGCAAGUCGAACGGCAGCACGGGUGCUUGCACCUGGUGGCGAGUGGCGAACGGGUGAGUAAUACAUCGGAACAUGUCCUGUAGUGGGGGAUAGCCCGGCGAAAGCCGGAUUAAUACCGCAUACGAUCUACGGAUGAAAGCGGGGGACCUUCGGGCCUCGCGCUAUAGGGUUGGCCGAUGGCUGAUUAGCUAGUUGGUGGGGUAAAGGCCUACCAAGGCGACGAUCAGUAGCUGGUCUGAGAGGACGACCAGCCACACUGGGACUGAGACACGGCCCAGACUCCUACGGGAGGCAGCAGUGGGGAAUUUUGGACAAUGGGCGAAAGCCUGAUCCAGCAAUGCCGCGUGUGUGAAGAAGGCCUUCGGGUUGUAAAGCACUUUUGUCCGGAAAGAAAUCCUUGGCCCUAAUACGGUCGGGGGGAUGACGGUACCGGAAGAAUAAGCACCGGCUAACUACGUG